rnacentral:tRNA from 1 species
GCGGGGGUAGCCAAGUCUGGUCAAAGGCGGUGGACUCAAGAUCCACUCCCUCAGUGGGUUCGCAGGUUCAAAGCAAGAAUUCAAGCAAGGGAAAAUCCUGCCCCCCGCA